GCGAGUUACCGAGUGGGCAAGGGGCUGUCACUGUGUGUGCGUGAUUGUGACGGUGUGUGGUGGUCGCUUCUGACUCCGCGUGGGUCGUUGAAUGUGUGACUGGGACCGUUUAGCGGUGGAUACACAACUGUGUGCGGCUGUGGAAGAUUCCCUCAUCGGUUAAGUUCCCAUUUCCGUGGAAAAACAGUUUUACCAGAAGGUUUCGAAGGAACUUUAAAGUUUGGAAGCGCAGCUUUGGUGUCAUCAAGUGUGAAAAGCCCUGGACUUUACACAUCUAGUAUGAUCGGGAGUCUGAGUACCAGAUGCUGGUCAGGACCUGUUAUGCUGGGUCUCAGAAUGCGGAAACCCUCCUUGUCCGAGGUGGAACAGUUUGUCCUUGAGUCAGGCCGGGAGUCCUGAGUGACUCUUUUGAUUUGAUCCUGUUUCCCU
rnacentral:lncRNA from 1 species